UACGUAGGGGGCAAGCGUUGUCCGGAAUCAUUGGGCGUAAAGAGCGUGUAGGCGGCCCGGUAAGUCCGCUGUGAAAGUCCAGGGCUCAACCCUGGGAUGCCGGUGGAUACUGUCGGGCUCGAGUCCGGAAGAGGCGAGUGGAAUUCCUGGUGUAGCGGUGAAAUGCGCAGAUAUCAGGAAGAACACCCGUGGCGAAGGCGGUUCUCUGGGACGGUACUGACGCUGAGACGCGAAAGCGUGGGGAGCGAACAGG
rnacentral:rRNA from 1 species